GUAGCAAGUUGUUUCGAUACAAUUAACAAAACUGUUUCUUACAAAUUGAUAUAGAAGUAUAGUAUGAACGUAAACUUCAUUACUGGUAAUUGAUGCUUUAUUAAACACGAUAGCCUGCUAGUACAAGACUUGUACAGGUCAAGGAAGGUUACUUUUAGAAGAUACAAAUUAGGAUACAGUGAGUGCAACAAAGAUACUAUUUAUGUAUUUGUAAUGUACAUCUACUGUUAAUUACAUUGCUUGUCAUAAUGCUAGUUUGAAGGCUGCCAUAGUUGGUUUACGUUUUACUUCCACUGGCAAAUUAUUCCAGCAAUUUACACAUCUUACAAGUAGGCUCUUUGAGCUUGUUGUAGAUUGUAGAAUGUUUCGGAGUGAUAAGAGGUUGUGCACGCCCCUGCUGUCCAUGCACGAUGUGUUGUAGGUGUGUUGGAAGACAGUCGUCUUUGCCCUGUACUGAGGGUCGUGGGUUCGAGUCCCAUCGAAGGAAAAGGAAAAACCUUUGUUAUUUUUAUGUUAUUAGUUUCACCUUUGUGGUGUUUAUCGUAGAUAAGCAAGCUAUGGAAAAAAUGAAUUUGAUCUGCAGAAUAAAUCUAGUGUCUGAAGUGAACGGAAGUGGUUUUUAUAAUAGAAAUUAUUCAAGUAUCACAUCUGGCGACGAGGAGCAACUGGAUAUUCUCAUUGGUGGUAUCUGAGUCACUUCCGGUUUGGAAGAACAAUACAGCGUACAAAGGAACCAGGCGAUAGCCGCUGCCGGUUCGGAACCAGGCGAUAGCCGUACCAUUGGAGUAAAAAAGGCGAUAGCCGUACCAUUGGAGUAAAAAAGGCGAUAGCCGUACCAAUCUGGUAGAAAGGGCGAUAGCCGCUGUCCUAGAGCAGAAAAACAGGCGUGGAAGCCGCCGCCAUCCGGUGGGAAUUCAGGCAAAAGCCGCUGUCAUAGAGCAGAAAAAAAAGCUUCACAUGGAGGGCUGGAAUAUUGAACAAUUCAAAUUCGCCCACCUGGCGGAAACGGAAGUACGUAAACAAUGGUUGAGAUGGAAGCGAAAUUUCGAAGUGGUAGCAGCCGCCAGCGAGGAAAAAAAUGCUACAAAACGCAAAAAUCUACUAUUAGCCAAAGGCGGCUUAGAGUUGCAAGAUUUGUUUUAUUCUCUAGAUGGUGCCGACGUAACAGAAGACAAAACCAAAGGAAUAGAUCCGUACAAAACAGCGAUCGCGAAGUUAGAUCAACAUUUUUCUCCAAAGCAGCACGAUUCGUUCGAGCGCAACGAAUUCUGUAAACUUGCACCACUCAAACGUUCAGAUGGAGAAGGUGAGCCGUUAACGAAAUUUUUAAUGCGCUGCACAGAUCAAGCUAAGAAGUGUAACUUCGGAAAAACUCAAGCAGAGAGUCGCGAUUUGAGGAUCAUCGAUAAAAUUGUAUACCAUGCGCCGGUAGAACUACGUGAAAAAUUACUACAAGAAGAAACCCUUACUUUGGACAAGGUCGCUAGAAUGGUGAAUUCGUUUGAGUCUAUUAAACACCAGGCUCAAGCAAUAACAGAAGCAGGAAGAACAAAUUUGGAGAACAUGGACCUGAAGUCUGCCGUUAAUCGCAUUCAGGGAACAGGUAAAAUGACAUCAAAUAUCACUGGUAUGUGCUACAGAUGCGGACAGAAAAAUCAUUACGGUAACGAUUUGAGAUGCCCGGCACGUGACAAGAAAUGUGACCAGUGUCACAAAAUCGGACAUUAUUCUAAGGUAUGUCGUUCAACCAUGAAGCGUAAAUAUCCAGAGAAUCGCUUUGGAGAUAGGAAUUCCGGAAAUCAUGCUAAACGGAGAAAACA